rnacentral:tRNA from 1 species
GUGGGCUCGUAGCUCAGUUGGCAGAGCGCCCGGCUCAUAACCGGGUGGUCGGGGGUUCGAAUCCUCCCGAGCCCACCA